rnacentral:rRNA from 1 species
AUUGAACGCUGGCGGCAUGCCUUACACAUGCAAGUCGAACGGUAACGCGGGGCAACCUGGCGACGAGUGGCGAACGGGUGAGUAAUGCAUCGGAACGUGCCCAGUAGUGGGGGAUAGCCCGGCGAAAGCCGGAUUAAUACCGCACACGACCUAUGGGUGAAAGCGGGGGAUCGCAAGACCUCGCGCUAUUGGAGCGGCCGAUGUCAGAUUAGGUAGUUGGUGGGGUAAAGGCCUACCAAGCCUACGAUCUGUAGCUGGUCUGAGAGGACGAACAGCCACACUGGGACUGAGACACGGCCCAGACUCCUACGGGAGGCAGCAGUGGGGAAUUUUGGACAAUGGGCGCAAGCCUGAUCCAGCCAUGCCGCGUGCGGGAAGAAGGCCUUCGGGUUGUAAACCGCUUUUGUCAGGGAAGAAACGCUCUGGGUUAAUACCCUGGGGUAAUGACGGUACCUGAAGAAUAAGCACCGGCUAACUACGUGCCAGCCGCCGCCGUAAGAC